rnacentral:rRNA from 1 species
UCAAGUGAAGAAGCGCAUACGGUGGAUGCCUUGGCAGUCAGAGGCGAUGAAAGACGUGGUAGCCUGCGAAAAGCUUCGGGGAGUCGGCAAACAGACUUUGAUCCGGAGAUCUCUGAAUGGGGGAACCCACCUAGGAUAACCUAGGUAUCUUGUACUGAAUCCAUAGGUGCAAGAGGCGAACCAGGGGAACUGAAACAUCUAAGUACCCUGAGGAAAAGAAAUCAACCGAGAUUCCCUUAGUAGUGGCGAGCGAACGGGGAUUAGCCCUUAAGCUUCAUUGAUUUUAGCGGAACGCUCUGGAAAGUGCGGCCAUAGUGGGUGAUAGCCCCGUACGCGAAAGGAUCUUUGAAGUGAAAUCGAGUAGGACGGAGCACGAGAAACUUUGUCUGAACAUGGGGGGACCAUCCUCCAAGGCUAAAUACUACUGACUGACCGAUAGUGAACCAGUACCGUGAGGGAAAGGCGAAAAGAACCCCGGAGAGGGGAGUGAAAUAGAACCUGAAACCGUAUGCGUACAAGCAGUGGGAGCCUACUUGUUAGGUGACUGCGUACCUUUUGUAUAAUGGGUCAGCGACUUAUAUUCAGUGGCAAGCUUAACCGUAUAGGGUAGGCGUAGCGAAAGCGAGUCUUAAUAGGGCGUUUAGUCGCUGGGUAUAGACCCGAAACCGGGCGAUCUAUCCAUGAGCAGGUUGAAGGUUAGGUAACACUGACUGGAGGACCGAACCCACUCCCGUUGAAAAGGUAGGGGAUGACUUGUGGAUCGGAGUGAAAGGCUAAUCAAGCUCGGAGAUAGCUGGUUCUCCUCGAAAGCUAUUUAGGUAGCGCCUCAUGUAUCACUCUGGGGGGUAGAGCACUGUUUCGGCUAGGGGGUCAUCCCGACUUACCAAACCGAUGCAAACUCCGAAUACCCAGAAGUGCCGAGCAUGGGAGACACACGGCGGGUGCUAACGUCCGUCGUGAAAAGGGAAACAACCCAGACCGCCAGCUAAGGUCCCAAAGUUGUGGUUAAGUGGUAAACGAUGUGGGAAGGCUUAGACAGCUAGGAGGUUGGCUUAGAAGCAGCCAUCCUUUAAAGAAAGCGUAAUAGCUCACUAGUCGAGUCGGCCUGCGCGGAAGAUGUAACGGGGCUCAAACCACACACCGAAGCUGCGGGUGUCACGUAAGUGACGCGGUAGAGGAGCGUUCUGUAAGCCUGUGAAGGUGAGUUGAGAAGCUUGCUGGAGGUAUCAGAAGUGCGAAUGCUGACAUGAGUAACGACAAUGGGUGUGAAAAACACCCACGCCGAAAGACCAAGGGUUCCUGCGCAACGUUAAUCGACGCAGGGUUAGUCGGUUCCUAAGGCGAGGCUGAAAAGCGUAGUCGAUGGGAAACAGGUUAAUAUUCCUGUACUUCUGGUUACUGCGAUGGAGGGACGGAGAAGGCUAGGCCAGCUUGGCGUUGGUUGUCCAAGUUUAAGGUGGUAGGCUGAAAUCUUAGGUAAAUCCGGGGUUUCAAGGCCGAGAGCUGAUGACGAGUCGUCUUUUAGAUGACGAAGUGGUUGAUGCCAUGCUUCCAAGAAAAGCUUCUAAGCUUCAGGUAACCAGGAACCGUACCCCAAACCGACACAGGUGGUCGGGUAGAGAAUACCAAGGCGCUUGAGAGAACUCGGGUGAAGGAACUAGGCAAAAUGGCACCGUAACUUCGGGAGAAGGUGCGCCGGCGUAGAUUGUAGUCCCUUGCGGAUGAAGGUUGAACCGGUCGAAGAUACCAGCUGGCUGCAACUGUUUAUUAAAAACACAGCACUCUGCAAACACGAAAGUGGACGUAUAGGGUGUGAUGCCUGCCCGGUGCUGGAAGGUUAAUUGAUGGUGUAAUCGAAAGAGAAGCUCCUGAUCGAAGCCCCAGUAAACGGCGGCCGUAACUAUAACGGUCCUAAGGUAGCGAAAUUCCUUGUCGGGUAAGUUCCGACCUGCACGAAUGGCGUAACGAUGGCGGCGCUGUCUCCACCCGAGACUCAGUGAAAUUGAAAUCGCUGUGAAGAUGCAGUGUAUCCGCGGCUAGACGGAAAGACCCCGUGAACCUUUACUGUAGCUUUGCACUGGACUUUGAGCCUGCUUGUGUAGGAUAGGUGGGAGGCUUUGAAGCGUGGACGCCAGUUCGCGUGGAGCCAUCCUUGAAAUACCACCCUGGCAUGCUUGAGGUUCUAACUCUGGUCCGUGAUCCGGAUCGAGGACAGUGUAUGGUGGGCAGUUUGACUGGGGCGGUCUCCUCCUAAAGAGUAACGGAGGAGUACGAAGGUGCGCUCAGACCGGUCGGAAAUCGGUCGCAGAGUAUAAAGGCAAAAGCGCGCUUGACUGCGAGACAGACACGUCGAGCAGGUACGAAAGUAGGUCUUAGUGAUCCGGUGGUUCUGUAUGGAAGGGCCAUCGCUCAACGGAUAAAAGGUACUCCGGGGAUAACAGGCUGAUACCGCCCAAGAGUUCAUAUCGACGGCGGUGUUUGGCACCUCGAUGUCGGCUCAUCACAUCCUGGGGCUGAAGUAGGUCCCAAGGGUAUGGCUGUUCGCCAUUUAAAGUGGUACGCGAGCUGGGUUUAGAACGUCGUGAGACAGUUCGGUCCCUAUCUGCCGUGGACGUUUGAGAUUUGAGAGGGGCUGCUCCUAGUACGAGAGGACCGGAGUGGACGAACCUCUGGUGUUCCGGUUGUCACGCCAGUGGCAUUGCCGGGUAGCUAUGUUCGGAAAAGAUAACCGCUGAAAGCAUCUAAGCGGGAAACUUGCCUCAAGAUGAGAUCUCACUGGGAACUUGAUUCCCCUGAAGGGCCGUCGAAGACUACGACGUUGAUAGGCUGGGUGUGUAAGCGUUGUGAGGCGUUGAGCUAACCAGUACUAAUUGCCCGUGAGGCUUGACCAU